rnacentral:lncRNA from 1 species
CCCGCACGGGCACGGGGGGGAGCAGGUUCGCGUCAUGUAGGUACGCGUGAGUGCACUGAGCCCGCUCCUCUGUCGUCUUCGGUUAGUACAAAGAGAGCCACCGGUACACGUAAUGCCUGAAAGGCACCUGAGUCCCCACGGGGCUGACAAGCCUGUGCGCUAAGUUUGCUGUUCUAAAUCUUGCUAUUACAAAGAUUUCAGCAGUAGUGAAUAAGCCUGACAAGACCAUUUCGCAAUCUCCUUCUCAGGCAGAGGCGGAUGGGAAAGGGAACAUGUGCAUUCUGCACGUGGGCAUCCUUGGACCGACAUCAGCCAAAGCCCCGUCCUGAGAGACCAGGGCAUGGUUCCCCACCUCGGUGCUUUGCCUCAGCCAAACGCCUGACUGCUCGGUCAGGCAGGUGGAGACACCAAAAGGAUGCGAAAAGCUGCCCUGAGCUCCCAGGGAGAUGGCAUGGAGAAUGGUUGCUCUCUGCUGUGAGAACCAGGGACCAGCCAAUUGCACUAUCAGAUGAAACAGAGUGUUCUUCAGACACAUCAUUCAGAGAAGAAAAGCAAUGAGACCUAUCUCAGAUUACAAAAAUGGAGAGACGUGGGCACUGUUUAAAGGCUACCUCAUGCAGCACGCUGAAGUUUGAAAGCAGCGAGGUAGACUCACUUUUCCUCAGGUGGCUGUAAUCACAGGAUGAUGGACCUUAAUGAUGGAGAACACUUGUGACCUGGCCAGUGAAGGCAUUUUCCCUCUGCAGGAGACUGAACAGAAGAAGGAACCUACAGAAGCCGCUGGAGUCCCCUUUCAGCACUUUUGGAGUACAAUCUUUGCCAAUAGGGACAAACUUGUUGUUGCCUGUGGCUGGAACUGGUGACAAGAAGUCUGCAUACCAGUGCACAUAGAGUGAGGCACACCAGUUGAACUGAAAGGAGAUCAAGCUCAGAUACCCCCUGACAUCCUCUUGCAUGGCUGAAAUGAGGUGAUAUGAAGAAGAAGCACUGACGGUCUUGGCCCCUCAGCUCAGGUUUAUGAGCCUCUGGGGCAGCUUGACAGAGACAGGCACUGGCACUGCAAGGAGAAAGUCAUAUUUUCCAGGGAAAAAAAGUCAUUAAAGAACAAAGUGCCGUAAGGAGAGCCAGAUUCCUGGGGAACUACGGCAAUGUGGAGAC